AUUAUAGAUCAAGAAGAGCGAAAUUCGAGAGUAGAUCGGGGAAAAGAAAAAGUAAAGGACUAAAUUGUAAAGUUUAGUCACAUUUUGUAUCGAGUACUUAUCUAGCCACUCGGGGAUCGAAGGAAACGUCGGAGGCCGAUCACACUAUCAAAGAAAUAACUCGGUAUAAUUAGACGUUUUGUUUUGUGUAUGGCAUGUAUAGAAACUUAGCCACUUUUGGUAUAAUAUGAACAAGGAAUGAUGUGUAAAUACUUGCUAGUGAUUAGCUAAUAAAAAUGGCCGAUGAUAUGCAUGUUUAUUAA